rnacentral:rRNA from 1 species
UACGUAGGUGGCAAGCGUUGUCCGGAAUUACUGGGUGUAAAGCGCGUGUAGGCGGCAGACCAAGUCGGCGGUGAAAGCGCCCGGCUCAACUGGGCGAGGUCCGUGGAAACUGGUCAGCUGGAGGACGGUAGAGGCGAGUGGAAUUCCCGGUGUAGUGGUGAAAUGCGUAGAGAUCGGGAGGAACACCUGUGGCGAAGGCGGCUCGCUGGGCCGGUCCUGACGCUGAGGAGCGAAAGCAUGGGGAGCGAACAGG